UACGUAGGCAGCGAGCGUUGUUCGGAGUUACUGGGCGUAAAGAGUGCGUAGGCGGUGUUCCAAGUCUGUUGUGAAAUCUCCCGGCUCAACUGGGAGGGUGCGACGGAAACUGGGACGCUGGAGUACGGGAGAGGUAAGCGGAAUUCCUGGUGUAGCGGUGAAAUGCGUAGAUAUCUGGAGGAACACCGGUGGCGAAGGCGACGUCCUGGACCGGCAUUGACGCUGAGGCGCGAAAGCCAGGGGAGCAAACGGG
rnacentral:rRNA from 1 species